UUAACCUGGUUGAUCCUGCCAGUAGUCAUAUGCUUGUCUCAAAGAUUAACCCAUGCAUGUGUAAGUAUAGUUAUCUACAGCGAAACUGCGAAUGGCUCAUUAAAUCAGUUAUAAUUUAUUUGAUGAAUAAUGGAUAUGGAUAACCGUAGAAAUUCUAGAGCUAAUACAUGCUAGAAAGCUCAACGCAAGAAGAG
rnacentral:rRNA from 1 species